AAUAAAGAAGUAAAUAUUUACAUUUAGUUUCGACCUAAAAAUAAGGACUUAUAAAUCCUCAUAUUUUAG
rnacentral:tRNA from 1 species